rnacentral:lncRNA from 1 species
CGGAUACUGGUACUGAUACAGACAGACAAUCUGUGCCAUAUUUUCGUUAUCGUUUUAUGUACGACUUUAUUUCGGGGAGUCGAUUCUUUGGUCUAUUUUCCAUUUUUAGCUCACCUGGCCCAAAGGGCCAAGUGAGCUUUUCUCAUCACUUUGCGUCCGGCGUCCGUCGUCCGUCGUCCGUCGUCGUCCGGCGUUAGCUUUUACAAAAAUCUUCUCCUCUGAAACUACUGGGCCAAAUCAAACCAAACUUGGCCACAAUCAUCAUUGGGGUAUCUAGUUUAAAAAAUGUGUGGCGUGACCCGGUCAACCAACCAAGAUGGCCGCCACGGCUAAAAAUAGAACAUAGGGGUAAAAUGCAGUUUUUGGCUUAUAACUCAAAACCAAAGCAUUUAGAGCAAAUCUGACAUGGGG